AUACGGAGGGUGCGAGCGUUACUCAGAGUCACUGGGCGUAAAGCGUCCGUAGGCGGUCGGGUAAGUCGGGUGUGAAAGCCCCGGGCUCAACCUGGGAAGUGCACCCGAUACUGCUCGACCCGAGUGCGGGAGAGGAUGGCGGAAUUCCCGGUGUAGCGGUGAAAUGCGUAGAGAUCGGGAGGAACACCAGUGGCGAAGGCGGCCAUCUGGCCCGCAACUGACGCUGAGGGACGAAAGCGUGGGGAGCAAACAGGAUUAGAAACCCCGGUAGUCC
rnacentral:rRNA from 1 species